rnacentral:tRNA from 1 species
GGGCUGGGGCUCAGUGGUAGAGCAUACACCUAGCAUGUGUGAGGAACUGGGUUCAAUUCUCAGCACCACA